UGGCCAGCCCUACACAGAGGAGCACACAGAGCUAGAGACCUCACUCGCUCUGUCAGCCAGGACUGUGGACUGAAGGAGCUGGACUCAGACUCGGGGGCAGCUGCAGGCUGCUGACUGAGUGCUCCAGGGACUCAAGGCUUGUUUGGGGAUACCUCCAGAGGUCCUGAACAAGGCAUAAAAGGACACUUCCUGAGUGAGCAGAGAACGAGUGAAUCGAGACAGCAAACAGGGCAGUUUCCUGGGAGCAAGAGAAGGAAGAGGAGUCAGGCACCAGACACCAGAUCAUGCUGCAGGAUGGAAUUACAAGCUUGCUCCAUAAGAGGAACCAGGUGCUGGCUAUAUCACAGAGUAAGCCCUCCUGAACACGAAGUGUCCAGGAAGUGUGACCUCCCAGAACAAAAUGUGGUGAUGCCGAUAGACACUUCAAGAUGUCAGAACAGG